rnacentral:rRNA from 1 species
UAGUCCACGCCGUAAACGAUGAUAACUAGCUGUUCGGGCCCACAGGGCUUGAGUGGCGCAGCUAACGCAUUAAGUUAUCCGCCUGGGGAGUACGGUCGCAAGAUUAAAACUCAAAGGAAUUGACGGGGGCCUGCACAAGCGGUGGAGCAUGUGGUUUAAUUCGACGCAACGCGCAGAACCUUACCAGCUUUUGACAUCCUGGUCGCGGAUUUGGGAGACCAUUUCCUUCAGUUCGGCUGGACCAGUGACAGGUGCUGCAUGGCUGUCGUCAGCUCGUGUCGUGAGAUGUUGGGUUAAGUCCCGCAACGAGCGCAACCCUCAUCCUUAGUUGCCAGCAUUCAGUUGUGCACUCUAGCGAGACUGCCGGUGAUAAGCCGGAGGAAGGCGGGGAUGACGUCAAGUCCUCAUGGCCCUUAUGGGCUGGGCUACACACGUGCUACAAUGGCGGUUACAGUGGGCAGCUACACAGUGAUGUGAUGCU